AGUGAACGCUGGCGGUAGGCCUAACACAUGCAAGUCGAACGGCAGCACAGUAAGCGCUUGCUCUUACGGGUGGCGAGUGGCGGACGGGUGAGGAAUACAUAGGAAUCUACUUUUUCGUGGGGGAUAACGUAGGGAAACUUACGCUAAUACAGCAUACGACCUACGGGUGAAAGCAGGGGAUCUUCGGACCUUGCGCGAUUGAAUGAGCCGAUGUCGGAUUAGCUAGUUGGCGAGGUAAAGGCCCACCAAGGCGACGAUCCGUAGCUGGUCUGAGAGGAUGAUCAGCCACACUGGAACUGAGACACGGUCCAGACUCCUACGGGAGGCAGCAGUGGGGAAUAUUGGACAAUGGGCGCAAGCCUGAUCCAGCCAUACCGCGUGGGUGAAGAAGGCCUUCGGGUUGUAAAGCCCUUUUGUUGGGAAAGAAAAGCAGCAGGUUAAUACCCCGCUGUUCUGACGGUACCCAAAGAAUAAGCACCGGCUAACUUCGUG
rnacentral:rRNA from 1 species